rnacentral:rRNA from 1 species
UACAGAGGUGGCAAGCGUUGUUCGGAAUUACUGGGCGUAAAGGGCGCGUAGGCGGCCGACCAAGUCGGAUGUGAAAUCCCUCGGCUCAACCGAGGAACUGCACUCGAUACUGGUUGGCUAGAGUCCGGGAGGGGAUAGCGGAAUUCCCAGUGUAGCGGUGAAAUGCGUAGAUAUUGGGAAGAACACCGGUGGCGAAGGCGGCUAUCUGGACCGGAACUGACGCUGAGGCGCGAAAGCCAGGGGAGCGAAUGGG